rnacentral:rRNA from 1 species
UACAGAGGUCUCAAGCGUUGUUCGGAUUCAUUGGGCGUAAAGGGUGCGUAGGCGGCGCGGUAAGUCGGGUGUGAAAUCUCGGAGCUUAACUCCGAAACUGCAUUCGAUACUGCCGUGCUUGAGGACUGGAGAGGAGACUGGAAUUUACGGUGUAGCGGUGAAAUGCGUAGAUAUCAGGAAGAACACCCGUGGCGAAGGCGACUUUCUGGGACGGUACUGACGCUGAGACGCGAAAGCGUGGGGAGCGAACAGG